GAUUUCUGGUUCGGCGCACUUGGCCCGUCUCGGUUUACGGGAUUGCGUGCCGGUGUGCGCCAUCCAUCCUUCGAGAGAACACUUCUACCCUCACGGGCUGGAGUGCUAUCUCGAUCUUUUACUUUGAAAAAAUUAGAGUGUUUAAAGCAGGCUUACGCUAUGAAUACAUUAGCAUGGAAUAAUAAUAUAGGACUUUGGUUCUAUUUUGUUGGUUUCUAGGACUGAAGUAAUGAUUGAUAGGGAUAGUUGGGGGUGCUAGUAUUCAGUGGCCAGAGGUGAAAUUCUUGGAUUCACUGAAGACUAACUACUGCGAAAGCAUU
rnacentral:rRNA from 1 species